AUUAACCGACGUAUACGGUAUAAAGUAAUACCGUUAUAGUAUUAGGGCUCCGAUUCAAUUUCAUGGACUGUGUUCAUUCAUUUACGGCAACAAACUACAGAAUACUUUCGGAAAUAUACUAACUUAAUUUUAAGCACAAAGCAAAAUGCCCAGAGAUGUCCACUCACUUAUAUUAAGAUGUUUUACAAAUUUAUAGUUAUUUUCGAUAGAAAAUCAGCCAUGGGUCCUGAAGUCCUCAUUAUCGAUAUCUUGGGGCUUGUAAAGUUAUGGUUCGAUAACUAAUUAACUUUAAUUAAUUGGAAUAUUAUACUUAUAUGUAUCUGCAAAUUUCAGUUUGAUGUUUUUGUACAAUAAUUAAUUGUUUAAUCUAACAUAAAUCUUACUAAAAUAGAUAAUAAUAAAAUUAACAUUAUCACUCGUUCCCAUGUGUUAUAAAGACCGUUAUGUAAACAAAACUAAGCACUCUUAUGCCACACGCCAUCUGGUAUAUAAAAUGUGGACAAGAAGACUUGUUCUGAAGGAUUGAUUAUUUUAAUACCCAUGGUAAUGAUUCGAUGAAACCGAUGAUAUAAUUUAAAAGUUAUAAAAUUUUGUCAUAAAAUAAAUAAUAAAAAUGUUUUUUUUUUAUUAAAAAUUUCUAAUUCCGUCUCUUCUAAAAAAAAAACAUAUAAUUACGUGCGGCUACGGGUAUAACAAAGAUAUGUUUCUGAUAUAUGUAUGUACAUACAGAUCUAAAUAAUAAUAAUAACAAAGGAAAUAUAUAUCAAUUAAGCUUUUGAUUUUAAUACAAUUUUUUUAAAUUUUUUUACAAAGAAAGGUUUUAAUACUGUUGAAAUACUCUAAGAAUUAAUCCGAUGUUUCUCUUGGUAUCAUAGGUUAUUAAAAAUCUUAUUAUUUUGGCUUUUCAUCCAUUUGUAUUUUAAUAGAAAAUUACGGUCUGUUUUAUACUAACAUAAGUUACAAUAAAAAAAAAACGGAAUUACCGCUGGACAUUAAUUAAAUUCAUAUUUGUAAAUUAGGUAUAUAAGUUUUUAUGAAUUUUUCCAACCAUUAACGCUCAUGCAAAUGCAGCAAUUAAAGAUAUUUUGGAGAAUAUUGACUAAUUCUUAAAAUCAAUGAUUUGAAAUUUCGUUUUGCUUACUAUACUGAAAAUCUGGUGGUGUUUAUGAGCCAGUGAUACUUUUUGUGUUGAAAAUUUAAUACAUAUUAGAAUACCCUGUGCUCUCAACACUUGUGGUUCUAAAUUUUUCAUUUGCUUUGAAGGAAGCUUUUAAUAUUUAAUGCAACUUGCAAAUUAAAAAAAUAGUGACUU